CUUCCUGUAGGGGGUGUGGCCCUCACAGGAAACAGACGCAAUCUCCAUUUCCGGGCGGCGCUUCCCUGCAGGCGAAGUUGGGCAUGAACUUCUUGGCGGCAGCCGGAGCUAGGCGGCUGUGCGCAAUGCGCGCAGUCUUUCCUUAUCGUUGGAGAGGAAAGUACUUCAGCUCUGGGAAUGAGCCUGCAGAAAACAACUCUGUGACCCCCAUGCUGAGGCAUCUUAUAUACAAAAUCAAGUCUACUGGUCCCAUCACUGUGGCCGAGUACAUGAAGGAGGUCUUGACAAACCCAGCCAAGGGCUAUUACAUGAACCGUGACAUGCUAGGAGAAGAAGGAGAUUUCAUUACUUCACCUGAAAUAAGUCAGAUGUUUGGGGAGCUCCUAGGGAUAUGGUUCAUCAGUGAAUGGAUAGCCGCUGGAAAAAAUGCAGCUUUCCAACUGGUGGAACUAGGCCCAGGCAAGGGAACCCUCUUGGGAGAUAUUUUGAGGGUAUUUAGUCAACUUGGGUCUUUGCUGAAAAACUGUGACAUUUCACUACAUCUGGUAGAGGUGAGCCAGAAAUUAAGUGAGAUUCAAGCAUUAACGUUGACUGAAGAGAAGGUCCCAUUAGAGCGAAAUGCUGAAUCCCCAGUAUAUAUGAAAGGUGUCACUAAAUCUGGAAUUCCAGUUUCUUGGUACCGAGAUCUGCAAGAUGUUCCAAAAGAGUACAGCUUUUAUCUCGCACAUGAAUUUUUCGAUGUUCUUCCUGUGCAUAAGUUUCAGAAAACACCACACGGAUGGCGAGAAGUACUUGUUGACAUUGAUCCACAGGUUUCUGAUAAACUGAGAUUUGUUUUGGCGCCAUGUGCCACCCCAGCAGAAGCGUUCAUACAAAAUGAUGAAACAAGGGAUCAUGUGGAAGUGUGUCCUGAGGCUGGUGUUGUUAUUCAGGAACUUUCUGAACGCAUUUCACUAACUGGAGGUGCUGCCCUGAUCGCGGAUUAUGGUCAUGACGGGACGAAGACAGACACUUUCAGAGGGUUUUGUGGCCACAGACUUCAUGAUGUCCUAACUGCCCCGGGAACAGCAGACCUAACAGCUGACGUGGACUUCAGUUACUUGCGUAGAAUGUCCCAGGGGAAAGUAGCUUCCCUGGGUCCAAUAGAACAACAAACGUUUUUAAGAAAUAUGGGCAUUGAUGUCCGGCUGAAGAUUCUUUUAGAUAAAACAGAGGAGCCAUCAUUGAGGCAGCAGUUACUUCAGGGGUAUAAUAUGUUAAUGAAUCCUAUGAAGAUGGGAGAAAGAUUUAACUUUCUUGCCUUGGUACCUCAUCAGAGACUUCAUGGUAGAAAUCAUCAGACAAAUGCACGUCAGUCAAAACCCUGUCCAUCACCUGUAGCUGGGUUUGGUGAACUUGCUUGGCGGUGAUAUUUCAGUUUGGACUUUUCACCCCCAAGUUGGCCUAAGAAACUAGAAUAAAAGGAACAUGUUUUAUAUAUCACAGAUGACAGCAUACAGAGAACAACAGUUAUGCAGCAAAAUGCCAGUCCGUAACAUGAAAUGCUUCCUUAUUGAAGUUAGCUCAUUGGUAACUAAGGAUCUUCUUCCAUGUCAUCUGGAUUGGGAGCCAUAAUGAAGUGCUUUGGGUAUACAAGGUUAUGUGUGUAUGCAUGUAUUUCCCAGCGGGCAUCGUCACUUUCAUGUGUAAUGUAACGUUCACCAAUGCGAGUUUCAAAUUCUCUAAGGUCGAGCCAAGUCUGAUAGUCCUGGGGGGGAAAAAUGAAGAUUAUGAACAGUAAAAGAAACAAAACACUA